rnacentral:rRNA from 1 species
CCUACGGGUGGCAGCAGUGGGGAAUUUUCCGCAAUGGGCGAAAGCCUGACGGAGCAACGCCGCGUGGGUGAUGAAGGUUUUAGGAUUGUAAAGCCCUUUCAGUCGGGACGAGACGAAGACGGUACCGACAGAAGAAGCAUCGGCUAACUACGUGCCAGCAGCCGCGGUAAGACGUAGGAUGCGAGCGUUGUCCGGAAUUAUUGGGCGUAAAGCGUACGUAGGCGGUCCAUUAAGUCUGGGGUUAAAGACCGAGGCUCAACCUCGGGGGUGCCCUGGAAACUGAUGGACUGGAGGACGGUAGAGGAAGGUGGAAUUCCCAGUGUAGCGGUGAAAUGCGUAGAUAUUGGGAGGAACACCGGUGGCGAAAGCGGCCUUCUGGGCCGUUCCUGACGCUGAGGUACGAAAGCCAGGGGAGCAAACGGGAUUAGAUACCCCUGUAGUC